ACGCUGCAGUCUGCGCCAGAGCCGCAGCGGUACGUGGAAGACCUGGGCGGGCAGGCGUCCUUACUAUGCGGAUCAUGUUGCGGCUGAAGUCGCGAACCGAGACGUAGCUGGGUGUCCCGACCCUGCAUACAGCAGUAGAAGACCUGGGUGACCGUCAGUACCCUGUGAAUUGAGGCACUCCUGAAGCCAUGCGCUGAGACCUGGCUGGGUGUCGCUACCCUGCUGACGGCUGCGGAGGACCUUGGUGGGCAUCAGUACCCUGCGGAUUGUAGGGAUGCUGAAGCUGCGCACUGAGACCUAGCUGCGUAUCUCCCCUGCGGAAGGCUGCGGAGGACCUGGGUGGGCGUCAAUACCCUGAGGAUUGCCGCACUCCUUCCGCAGUCCCUUGCUCUAGGCUGCGGAGGACCCGGGUGGGCGUCAAUACCCUGAAGAUUGCGGCACUCCUUCCGCAGUCCCUUGCUCUAGGCUGCGGAGGACCCGGGUGGGCGUCAAUACUCUGCGGAUCGCGGGGAUGCUGAAGCUGCGCGCUGAGACCUAGCUGGGUUUCUCCCCUGCGGAAGGCUGCGGAGGACCUGGGUGAGCGUCAGUACCCUGAGGAUUGUGGCACUCCCGCAGCUGCGCAGAGACCUAGCUGGGUGUCCUCCCCUGGAGAAGGCUGCGGAGGACCAGCGUGGGCAUCAGUACCCUGCGCGUCACGGGGAUGCUGAAGCCGCGCACUGAGACCUAGCUGGGUGUUCCUACCCUGUGGAAGGCUGCGGAGACCCGGGCGGGUGUCAGUACCCUGUGGAUUGCGGCACUCCUGCAGCUGUGCAGAGACCUAGCUGGGUGUCUCCCUUGCAGAAGGCUGUGGGGGACCCGGGCGGGGGUCAGUACCCUGUAGACUGCGGCACUCCUGCAGCUGCGCACUGAGACCUAGCUGAGUGUCUUCCCUGCAGACGGCUGCGGAGGAUCUGGGCGAACGUCAUUACUUUGUGGAUCCCAGGAUACUGAAGCAGCUCACUGAGACCUAGCUGUGCGUCGUCCCCUGUGGAAGGCUGUGGAGAACCCGGGUGGGCUUCAGUACCCUGAGGAUUGCGGCACUCCUGCAGCUGCUCGCUGAGACCUGUCUCCCCUGCGGAAGGCUGCGGAGAACUCUGGAGGGCGUCAGUAGCCUGCGGAUUGCGGCACUACUGCAGUUGCGCAGAGACCUCGCUGGGUGUCUCCCUUGCAGAACGCUGCGGAAGAUUCAGGAGAGCGUCAGUACCCUGCGGACUGCGGCACUCUUGCAGCUGCGCAGAGACCUAGCUGGGUGUCUCCCCUGCGGAAAGCUGCGCAGGAUCACGAAGGGCGUCAAUACCCUGCGGACUGCGGCACUCCUGCAGCUGCGCACUGAGACCUAGCUGAGUGUCUUACCCUGUGGUGGUGAUGGAGAACCCCGGUGGGCGUCUUUACCCUGUGAAUGGCCUAGCGCUGCUAAAGCCCCGCACUGAGACGUAGCUGGGUGUUCUCCCCUGUGCACGGCUGUGGAGGAUCUGGGCGGACGUUGUUACUUUGUGGAUCGCGGGAAUGCUGUAGCUGCGCACUGAGACCUACCUGGGUGUCCUCCCCUGUGCACGGCUGCGGAGGAUCUGGGCGGGCGUCAUUACUUUGUGGAUCGCGGGAUUGCUGCAGCUGCGCACUUAGAUCUAGCUGGUGUCUUCCCCUGCGGACAGCUGCGGAGGACCUGGGUGGGCGUCAUUACUUUGUGCAUAGCAGGAAUGCCGCAGCUGCGCACUGAGACCUAGCUGGUGUCGUCCUCUGCGGACGGCUGCAGAGGAUGAGAGGAGGGAGGAGGCGUCGUUACUUUGUGCAUCGCGGGGAUGCUGAAGCCAUGCACUGAGACCUAACUGGGUGUCCCCACCCAGUGGACGGCUGCGGAGAACCCGGGCGGGCGUCAUUAUACUGCGGGGGCGGGCGUCAUUAUACUGUGGAAGGUGGUGCUGCGGUAACUGUCCAGAGACCUAGCCGGGUGUUCCUGCCCUGCGGAUGGCAGCGGAGAACCCUGGGGGGCGUUUUUAGCCUGCGGAUCGCCUGGUGCUGCUGAAGCCGCGCUUGAAGACCUAGCUGAGUGUCCGCCCCUGCGGAAGCCUGCGGAGGACCUGGGCGGACUCUUUACCCUGUGGAUUGCGCCGCUGAUGAAGCGGCGCACGGAGACCUAGCUGGGUGUCUUCCCCUGUGGUAGGCUGCGGAGGAUCUGGGUGGCUCUGGAGAUCGCAGGAAUGCUGAAGCCUCGCGCUGAGAUCUAGGCUGAGUGUUCUCCGCUGUGGAUGGCUGCGGAGGACCCGGGCGAGCUCUUUACCCCACUGAUCUCAGCGCUGCUGAAUCCCCUGCACUGAGACCUAGCUGAGCGUUCCCUACCCUGCAGAUAGCUGUGGAGGACCCCGGCAGGCGUCCUUACCCUGCGGAUUGCCUGGUGCUGCUGAAGCCGGCACUGAGAGCUACCUGGGUGACACUACCCUGCGGUUAGCUGCGGAGGACCUGGUGAGCGUCUUUGCUGUGCGGACUGCGGCAAGGGUGCGACUGCGUAUGUUGGUGGGCGUCCUUAUCCUUCAGACGGCGGCAAUUCUGCAGCUGCUCAUUGAGGACAUGAGCUGGCAUCUUUCCCGGUAGGACUGCGGCACGUCUGUAGCCACGCACUAAGGACCUGGGUAGGCGUCAUGACCCUGGGAGCAGCGGCACAGCUGCGACUGCGUAUGGAGGACCCAGGCAGGCUCCUCACUCUGCCGACUGCAGCGCGCCUGUGGUUGUGCACCAAGGACCCACCCAGACAGGCGUUCUUACCCUGUGGACAGCGGCACAGCUGGGGCUGUGCACCCCAGGAUCCAGCUGGGCAUUCUUAUCCUGCCGACUGUGGCACGUCUGUGGCCAGGAGUUUUUAUCGUGUGGACAGCAGCACAGCUGCGGCUGCACACUAUGGACCCAGACGGGCGUUCUUGCCUUGUAGACUGUGGCAGGGCGGUGGCGGGGCACCCACGAUGCAGGCGAGUGUAUUGCCCUGCGACUGGCAACACAGGCUGCGCAGCCAGGACUCAGGCGGGAGUCCUUACUCUGGGGGAGUCCUUACCCUACGGACUGUGGUACAACUGUGGCUGGCACAAGAACCCAGGUGGGCGUCCUUACCCUGCAGACAGUGGCAGGGCUGCACAUGGCGGACUCGGGUGAGCCGUCUCAUCCUGUGGACCGUGUUACUGUUGCGGCUGUGCACUCAGGACCUGGUGGGGGUGGGGUGUGUGUGUUCCUCUUCUGCUGACUGUGACUCCGUGCCAGCUGCACGGAGGACCAGGGCAGGUGUCUUUGCUUUGUCAACGACAGCACUGCUGCAGCAGUGCACGAGAACCAGACCUGGAGCCGGGUAGAGGAGGUCCCUCCCCUUCUGACUGCAACACAGCUCCACCUGCAACCUGAGACCUGGGUGAGCAUCUUUUCCCUGCCCCGUGCCAUUGUUCUGGCCAUACACCAGCGACCUGGACAGGUUUUCACAUCUCUAUGCUGGAUGGGCUGGCCCAGCCGGUUGUGCACUGUGAGGUGCUGCAGGAGGAGCUGCGAGGACACAUUGUUCUUGACUUCUCAGCAUAGGAAUGUCUCACGUCCAGUCCACGUCCCUGUCCUAGUCCUCCUCUCUGCUCCUUCCACGCUUCCUCACGGUGGUCUCCUGCGCGCUUGUGGCUGUCAGUAUCAGACGAGGGCAGCUUCUGCAUUUUCUCAAUUCCAACCACUCCUCUCCACUUACCUACCCAGUAUCUCUACUGGGUGUCUUCCAGUCAUCCUGCACUCAACGCGACCGACAGUUUACUUCCAACCGGCUUGACAAUUUCCCUGACUUUGUUGAUGGCAACUUUAUCCUUCCAGUUGCUUAAGCCAGAUACGUUGGAGUCAUUCUUUACCAUUCUGUUCAACUUCAUACCUAUUCCUCAAGAAUUCUGGUUUCUCUAUCUGUAAAAUGUAUUUGGAAGCAGCUACUUCUUACCUUCUUUUCACGGAUUCAGGUCACCAUUCACACUCACUUGGAUUAUUGCAAUAAUUUCCUAACUGGGUUCCAUGUUUCCAGCUUUUCUGUCUGCAGUCUGUUUUGUUUUCAACAUGUGGCCAGAGGGAUCCUGUUAACAUCUAAGUGAAAUAUAUCAUUUCUCUGCAGUGGCUCCUUAGCUGCUCAGAGUAAAAUCUAAUGUUUUUACAAUGGCCUGAAAGGCUCUCCAUAACCUUAUCCCCUCCCACUUACCUCCCUGUCUCCUCUCCUCCCUCCGGCACUCAGCCCCUGUGUAUUUUAGCUAUUGAAGGAAUAUGUGGGCACACUGCUAAUUUAUUGUCUUUGUGGAGGCUUGGUUUGUGCAUUCCUUAUUUCAAACACUUAUGGGUGGACUCUGGUAAUGAGCAGUCAUAUUUAUGAGUCCCCCUCCAAGUGAGGAGAUGUACUAGGUGGAAUGUGCGCCCUCCCUCACGUGGUAUACUCUUGAUACAGAGCCAAGCAGGUAGUACCGUUGGUCCUGCUUUGUAGGUGAGGGAAAGCAGACCCAAAAUGAAGGAAGUUGUCCAGGGUUACAUGCUGGGAAGUGGUGGAGGUAGAAUUCAAACCCGGAGCGCAGGUGUUGUCUGCACCUCAGAGAGGCACCGCUCUUCCUGAAAUGCUCCUCCCUGGUUAUCUAUGAGGCUGAAGUCCUCACCUCUUUCAGGUCUUUGCUGAAUUAGAACCUUCUCCAUAAGGCAAGGCUGAUGCUGAGCACCCCACUUAAAAUUUUCCUCUCUCCCAAGACCUUCUUCUCAGUCCCUCUACUUGGCUCAUUUCAGGUGUCUAGCACGUCACGCCCUUUAAUAAAUUUUGCAGGUAUUUCUCCAUGAGUGUAAGAAAGUGGUUUUCUUUGGUGGGGGUUGAUUUUUCAUGGCACAUAAAGGGCAGCAGGGUUUCUUUGGGUCCUGUCUGGAGGCCUGAAGGUCACGCUGGGCUUCUGGGGAGCGGGUCCCCUUCCUGCAGCCUCCCUCUCCACUUGCGUGUUUCUCACUCCUCUCUCUCCCUGGGAAGUGUUGCUUGAUAAAGAUGCAGCUUUUAAUUAAUGUAACUGUUCAAGAUUACAGCCGGUCAUCAGCUUUCUAACCAGUGCCUCACAGCUCUGCUGGAAGAGCCUUGCUCCGGUGAUGGUUGAUUUGCCAUUCUCUGUCCCAGCCCAGAGAAGCUCCCCUCACUGUCAACGUGCCAUCUGUCAGGUGCAUGUUAUAAAGCUGUCAUCAUGAUCAGCUCAUUCAUACACCAGCUUUAGCUUUGAGGAACUGCCGGCCAUGGCGUUGAAGACCUGCUGAAGCCUCCAGCCAGACAUCUGAUGUUCAGGUCUCAGGGGGUCCUUGCUGCUUGUGUAGCCUGACAGGUGUGGCCACGGCAGGCACACCAUGGUUUGGAGUUUGGAAAGAAGAGACCCUGUGUUAUUGUAGAGUGACCACUGGAUUGGGCUUCUGGAAAUCCAAUUCUAAUCAGACUUGGGUUAUGCAUUUACUAUUUCAAUAAAACAUUUAUGGAUGGACUCUGGUAAUCAACAGCCAUAUUUUUGAGUACCCACUGCAGGUGAGGAAAUAAAUGUACUAGGUGCGAUAUA
rnacentral:sRNA from 1 species